UACAGAGGUCCCAAGCGUUGUUCGGAUUCAUUGGGCGUAAAGGGUGCGUGGGCGGCGCGGUAAGUCGGGUGUGAAAUCUCGGAGCUUAACUCCGAAACUGCAUUCGAUACUGCCGUGCUUGAGGACUGGAGAGGAGACUGGAAUUUACGGUGUAGCGGUGAAAUGCGUAGAUAUCGUAAGGAAGACCAGUGGCGAAGGCGGGUCUCUGGACAGUUCCUGACGCUGAGGCACGAAGGCCAGGGGAGCAAACGGG
rnacentral:rRNA from 1 species